UAGGAAUAUGCCUUGAAGUGGGGGAUAACAUGGGGAAACACAUGCUAAUACCGCAUAAUUUCUUAGGAAAAAAGCUGGGGACCUUCGGGCCUAGCGCUUCAAGAUUAGCCUGCGUCCGAUUAGCUAGUUGGUAGGGUAAAGGCCUACCAAGGCGACGAUCGGUAGCUGGUCUGAGAGGAUGACCAGCCACACUGGGACUGAGACACGGCCCAGACUCCUACGGGAGGCAG
rnacentral:rRNA from 1 species